AUUCAAAGUAAUAUAUUCCGUCUAAAAUGUAUUUAUCUCAAAACGCAUUUGUGUGCUGCUUUCACCUUUAUUAUGGCUGCAUUUUCAUUGGCGUUUGGGGUCUGCUGAUCUCCAUAAUUGGUUUCAUAUUUGUCCUAAUUGCAAUGUUUCCAGAAUUUUCACUACUUUGGUCAAUUAUAGCAUUAAUAUUUAUGAUGCUAUAUUUGAUUUCAAAAGUUUGUUUGCUUCUGUCCAUUGGAUAUGAAAUUUGUAUUUUGGCGCUAGUUUCUUUUGUUUUUGGAGCGUUGUCGAUUAUUUUUGCACUUGCUAUUUUGAUAUGGCAAAUUGUGCUUGGAGCAAGUCUUCUUCCCGUCGUUCUGGGCGUCUUCUUUAUAGUAGUGGAAAUUUACUUUGCCUAUGUGGUAAUAUCGUAUUGGAAUCUUUGUGAAAAUAGAAGUUUGGCAUAAGGUGGCUCUACUAUUAUAUAUUAUAUUAUAUUCAUACACCCUAUUUUAACA